CACCCAUUUUCGGUGAUAGAAUUAUGCACAUACCCAUAUUUUAACAUUUGAUGUUUUCUUUUCUUUCACAUCUCUUCUAUAAACAAGAGAUAUAACAACGAGAACACCAUUAACCACAUCUUUCUUUUGAUAUCUUUCUAUCUAAUUCAAUCAAAAUCCUAGAAGACAUAACCUAAAUUCAAUUCAAUCUUUCUUUUUGUAGCUUCAGAUUUUAAUGAUUUGAUUGCGGGUGUUUGUUUUCUCCAAUUUGAUAAACCUCAUUUUAGAUCUGGAAAAGGGUACAUUGUUGCUUGUGAUUUUAAGCUGAAAUAGACGGAGAGGAGAUGACAGACACUGCUAGAGAGAAUGAAGAUUGCUACUGUUAUUGUGAACCGGAGAUUGAUUGAGGUGGAUUCGAGAUCUGAGAAGAAGGAAUCAGAAAUGCAUUUGUUGCUUCUGGUGACGAUUCAUAUGGAGUUUUGUUGUUGAUAGAGGAGAUGUGAUUGGGUUUUGCUCAGAUGAAGAGUCAAAGAAGAAUGUUUAUCAGUUUAUGUAUGUUGCAGAUUAGUUGAAUAUUCAAAGAAGAAUGUUUGUUUUGUCAUGUUUUUUGAUAAACAAAGUAUAUCGAAACUAUCUUCAGAGGGGCAUAUGCGAGAUGACAGAGGAUACAUUGGCUUAUGGAAAAUCGUUAUCGUGAGAAACUUGCCAUAUGUUGACAUGCAGAGAACAGAGGUGCCGAAAUUUUUAUCUCACCAUCUCUUUCCAUCUGCUAGAUGGAGUUUGAACAUUACAAGCACCAGGAAGAGCAAGAGCUAGUGUUGGACUAAUUGCAAGACCUAAUGCGGCACUGGCACCAGUAUUAAGGAUUGAGCAAAGGCACUCUGGUUGUGUUUGAACCACACUAGUAAGUUGUGAACAACAGGAAGAUGAUGGGGUUGAGGAAUUUCAUGUUAUGUAGGUAAGACAAGGUGCCAUGCCCGUGAUCACAUUUGUACAACUAGAUUGAGCCGUUACAUGUGUCGUGAAUGCAGUCACAAGGACUACUAGAAGAACCAUUUCCAUCAUUAUCAAUGGAGCAGCCAUUUGAAUGAAUAUGAAAAGAGAAGAAAAGAAUGUUGUGGGAAAAUGUAAAUGAAAAGGAAAGUGUUUAGAGAUUAAUUGUUAGAGAAAAUGUGGGUUUCACUUGGAGAUAAAUGUGAGAAGUUGUGGUAUUUAUAAGAGA